UACGACUACAUAUCAGGCAUAUCAAUAAGCGGAGGAAAAGAAACUAACAAGGAUUCCCUUAGUAACGGCGAGUGAAGCGGGAAGAGCUCAAAUUUGAAAUCUUCAAGGUUCUACCUUGACGAAUUGUAGUUUAAAGAAGUGUUUUCUGUUAGAUGAGUAGCAAAAGUUCCUUGGAAUGGGACAUCAUAGAGGGUGAGAAUCCCGUAUUUGGUUAUUCAUUCUAGCUUUGUGAUACACUUUCAAAGAGUCGGAUUGUUUGGGAAUGCAGUCCAAAAUGGGUGGUAAAUUUCAUCUAAAGCUAAAUAUUGGCGAGAGACCGAUAGCGAACAAGUACCGUGAGGGAAAGAUGAAAAGAACUUUGAAAGGAGAGUUAAACAGUACGUGAAAUUGUCAAAAGGGAAGCGUUUGACACCAGUGUUGUUUUUCCGAAAAUCAAUUACGAAUGGCUUGAUUUUGUGUUGUAUUGACCUUAUCAGCUUUCUUCACUUUUUUCGAGUCUUUCUUAGUGCACUUUUCGGUUAACAAGUCAACAUCAAUUUCUUUUGUUGUAAAAGAGUAUUCGGAAGGUGGCUUUCUUUUCGGAGAAAGUGUUUAUAGCCCUAUACUUCUACAAUCGGAGAGAUUGAGGUCUGCAGCGUAGAUCCUUCGGGGCUAGAUACACUUUGUGCUAAGUUGUAGCUUUUCAUAGACAACUUGUUGACUAUGUUUAGUCAUGCGGCUUACUCGCUUAGUGCUAUUUUACCUACGCUUAGGAUGUUGAGUAGCGACAUACGCAC
rnacentral:rRNA from 1 species